GUCAGCAUUUCAUUUGUGUGUGCGUCUGUCAGUGCAGGUGCAGGUCUAUCAAGGUCUCACUCGGCCGUCUUCACUUGUCAAGGCAUUACCAUAGAGAUGGCAGGCAGCUGUUUGUACUUAAACACAGUCCACCAUGGAGCAUGUAAGGCACAAGAUCAGAAGAA